AUACUUACCUGGCAGGGGAGAUACCAUGAUCAUGAAGGUGGUUUUACCAGGGUGUGGCUCACCCAUUGCACUCCGGGUGUGCUGACCUCUGCGAUUUCCCCAAAUGUGGGAAACUCGACUGCAUAAUUUAUGGUAUUGUGGGACUGUGUUUAUGCUAUCCCCUG
rnacentral:snRNA from 1 species